AUUGAACGCUGGCGGCAGGCUUAACACAUGCAAGUCGAACGAGUGGCGGACGGGUGAGUAAUGCUUGGGAAUCUAGCUUAUGGAGGGGGAUAACUACGGGAAACUGUAGCCAAUACCGCGUACCAUAGGAUGAGCCCAAGUGGGAUUAGGUAGUUGGUGAGGUAAAGGCUCACCAAGCCGACGAUCUCUAGCUGGUCUGAGAGGAUGACCAGCCACACUGAGACUGAGACACGGACCAGACUCCGACGGAAGGCAGCAUGGGGGAAUAUUGCGCAAUGGGGGCAACCCUGACGCAGCCAUGCCGCGUGAAUGAAGCAGGCCUUCGGGUUGUAAAGUACUUUGAGUCGGGAGGCGUUACGGACAGAAGAAGCACAGGCUAACUACGUGCCAGCAGCCGCGGUAAUAC
rnacentral:rRNA from 1 species